UCAGUCGGCUGGGCAGCCGCGCUUGUUUCAUGCUUCAAGGUGUGCAGGUGAGGAAAGUCCGGGCUCCACGGAAAAACGGUGCCGGGUAACACCCGGCAGGGGCGACCCUAGGGAAAGUGCCACAGAAAGCAAACCGCCUAUUUUUAUAGGUAAGGGUGAAAGGGUGGGGUAAGAGCCCACCGCGCAUUCAGUAAUGAAUGUGGCAAGGUAAACCCCACCGGGAGCAAGACCAAAUAGAAAUGACGCGCAAGGCUUAACUUGCAGCCGGUUUCCGGGCGAGUCAUUCGGGUAGGUUGCACGAGGCGGGUGGUAACAUCCGUCCUAGAUGAAUGGUUGCCAUGGAAAGUAUAAGCUUUACCAUACAGAACCCGGCUUAUAGGCCGACUGAUAUU
rnacentral:RNase_P_RNA from 1 species